rnacentral:rRNA from 1 species
UACAGAGGGUGCUAGCGUUAAUCGGAUUUACUGGGCGUAAAGCGUGUGUAGGCGGUUUGUUAAGUCGGGUGUGAAAUCCCUGGGCUCAACCUGGGAAUUGCAUUCGAUACUGGCAAGCUAGAGUACGGUAGAGGGCGGCGGAAUUCCCGGUGUAGCGGUGAAAUGCGCAGAUAUCGGGAGGAACACCAAUUGCGAAGGCAGCUCGCUGGGACGUUACUGACGCUGAGACGCGAAAGCGUGGGGAGCAAACAGG